rnacentral:rRNA from 1 species
UACGGGGGGGCAAGCGUUGUUCGGAAUUACUGGGCGUAAAGGGCUCGUAGGUGGCCAACUAAGUCAGACGUGAAAUCCCUCGGCUUAACCGGGGAACUGCGUCUGAUACUGGAUGGCUUGAGUUCGGGAGAGGGAUGCGGAAUUCCAGGUGUAGCGGUGAAAUGCGUAGAUAUCGGGAGGAACACCUGAGGCGAAGGCGGGUUGACUGGGCCGAGUACUGACGCUG